rnacentral:rRNA from 1 species
AGCAGCCGCGGUAAUUCCAGCUCCAAUAGCGUAUAUUAAAGUUGUUGCAGUUAAAAAGCUCGUAGUUGAAUUUCGGGAUCAAUUCGUCGGUCGUGCUUUCGGGUACGUACUGGUGUUAUUGGUUUCUCCCUUCUGACGAACCAUGAUGUCAUUAAUUUGGUGUUAUGGGGAGUUAGGACUAUUACUUUGAAAAAAUUAGAGUGUUUAAAGCAGGCAUUAGCUUGAAUACAUUAGCAUGGAAUAAUGAAAUAGGACGUUCGAUCCUAUUUUGUUGGCUUCUAGGAUCAACGUAAUGAUUAAUAGGGAUAGUUGGGGGCAUUAGUAUUCAAUUGUCAGAGGUGAAAUUCUUGGAUUUAUUGAAGACUAACUACUGCGAAAGCAUUUGCCAAGGAUGUUUUCAUUAAUCAAGAACGAAAGUUAGGGGAUCGAAGACGAUCAGAUACCGUCGUAGUCUUAACCAUAAACUAUGCCGACUAGGGAUCGGAUGAUGUAAUUUUUAAUGACUCAUUCGGCGCCUUAC